CUUCCUCUCGUCUCCCUCGAUUCUUCUCGCGCAGCCGCACCUACUCCGAGCCCCUCCUCUUCCCUGUGCCACCGGCCUCCCUCCUCUGUGUCUCUCCUCAUUGGUCGUCGCUCCAAGUCGCGGAUCUCCUCGCCGCAGUUGCAGUGGUCGCCGCUGCCGCCGUCUUCGCCCAUCACAGCUUCUCUUCCCCGCGCUCGCCGAUGGCAACCAACAGCGAGGAGGCGGCACCACCACCCGGCCAAAUCUUCUCUCGCAUGCGUAACUUCCUUGCCAAGCCCUUCCGCUGCACGCGUGCCCUCGCGGGCUCGCUCUUCCUCCCCUACGACCUCUCGAGGACGCGUGCGGUGCCGCCGCGGUCCGCCCGCACUGACGAAGGCCCUCACACGGUUGGUUGCAGUACGGGGUUGACAAGGACUUCUGCAACGUGUCGCGCCAUGUCAUCUUUUAGGACAUGGGCUCAGGUAGCACCUAAGCCGUGUACUAAUUGUCCUCCAACGCUAAGGAGUUCGGGAAGAUGGUGUCUGUCAACCAGUUGCAGGUACAAAUUCUCACCACCUUGUCCUUUAGUUGUUCAGUCAAGUAUAUGCCUGCUUGUAAGAACUCUGAAGAAAAUUGUGUUAAUUCUCAUUUUGGACAGUGCUACUGAUGUUGGUUUUGUUGCAAAGGUUAGUUCUGCAAAGUCACACACUCAGGGAGCUCAACGCAAUGGACCGGAAUGUAUUGAUGGACCACUACGCUUUGCGAGAGAAGUUUAAUUUCCUGUUGGUGUCACAAAACAUCCGACUCAAGCAGAAGCAAAAGAGCCAAUGUGUCUUUCAAAGGCAAAAAUCUACUGUAGUCCCACUGCUCAUACCCCCACAACAAAUCUAUUUGUGUGAUAGUAUGACUGAUGAUUGGUAGCCUAAGUCAGUAGGAAAUACAUCAGGGUUAAUACGGCAAUUACCGAAGUACUCCCCAAAUGCGGUGACAAGAUCAAACGAGCAUCCUCAUUGUCUUUGAGUGAAAGAUAUAAAUGGAUAUGUAAGGGGAAAAUUUGAUCGGACGGAGUGUGAUGUUGGAAAUAGAAGGAAGGCCAAGAUGUGUCUGGUUAUAUAUAUUGAUGAGGAAAUCGAUGUGUCGGAAGAUGUUGAUAUUUCACCGGAUGAGCAUUAUGAUCGGCGUGAAGAUAAAUAUGAACAUAGGUUUAUUGAUGAUCAUACCACUCCUACCGGCCAAUUCUCCCAGAGUAGUGAACAAGGUGGUGAGAACAGUGACACUAAUGACAUGAUGGCUUUCUGCAGGUAUAAUCCGAGCUGGCCAAUCCUCAGGUUUGGCGGUCAGUUUGUCGCGUGCUCCUCCUGUCCUGAAUUUGGGGUCAUGUUCAGUGCCUGCUGAACCUGCUUUCUCUGUUCUGAAUCCGAACUUGGGAUCUUCUUUAGUGGCUGCUGAACCUGCUUUCUCUGUUCUAAUCCGAACUUGGGAUCUUCUGCAGUGGCUCCUCAGUCGUUCAACCGUUCGUCUGAAACUUUUCAUUUGUGUAUGUUGUCUUCCUCUUUUUUUUCUUACCUCUUAUUUUUUCCAGUUGGUUAAAUCAAAUAAGUUUAGUUUUUCCUAAAAAAAACAUUUCUUACUUUUGUGAUACA